GAUGAAGAACGUAGCGAAAUGCGAUAAGUAAUGUGAAUUGCAGAAUUCAGUGAAUCAUCGAAUCUUUGAACGCACAUUGCGCCCGCCAGUAUUCUGGCGGGCAUGCCUGUUCGAGCGUCAUUUCAACCAUCAAGCCCCAGGCUUGUGUUGGGGACCUGCGGCUGCCGCAGGCCCUGAAAACCAGUGGCGGGCUCGCUGUCACACCGGGCGUAGUAGAUUUUAUCUCGCUCAGGGCGUGCUGCGGGUCCCGGCCGUUAAAAGCCUUUUUCUACCCAAGGUUGACCUCGGAUCAGGUAGGAAGACCCGCUGAACUUAAGCAUAUCAAUAAGCGGAGGA
rnacentral:misc_RNA from 1 species